AUAAUUCGAUGCAACGCGAAAAUCUUACCUGGCCUUGACAUGCAGCGAACUUUCCAGAGAUGGAUUUGGUGCUCGAAAGAGAACGCUAACACAGGUGCUGCAUGGCUGUCGUCAGCUCGUGUCGUGAGAUGUUGGGUUAAGUCCCGCAACGAGCGCAACCCUUGCCAUUAAUUGCCAUCAUUUAGUUGGGCACUUUAAUGGGACUGCCGGUGACAAACCGGAGGAAGGUGGGGAUGACGUCAAGUCCUCAUGGCCCUUAUGGCCAGGGCUUCACACGUAAUACAAUGGUCGGUACAGAGGGUUGCCAAGCCGCGAGGUGGAGCCAAUCCCAGAAAGCCGAUCGUAGUCCGGAUUGUAGUCUGCAACUCGACUACAUGAAGUCGGAAUCGCUAGUAAUCGCGGAUCAGCAUGUCACGGUGAAUACGUUCCCGGGUCUU
rnacentral:rRNA from 1 species